AACGCAAAUUGCACUUUCUGGUAUUCCGGAGAGUAUGCCUGUUUGAGGGUCAGUUAAAUAAAAAUCGAUGUUGUUGUUGCCUUGCGUGGUGACGCAUCGGAUUUGGGUUGUCUUACCUUUCGGUUAAGUGACCUAAAAAUUUUGCAUGAUUUUUCGAACGUAUUUAAAUGAUUUACGUACGUUUGUGAUAUCUAAUACUAGGUGUGGUCAUUCUCAUGAUUCGUGCCUAUAAUUUCUCAUCAAAAUGACCUCAAAUCAGGUAAGAGUACCCGCUGAACUUAA
rnacentral:misc_RNA from 1 species